rnacentral:hammerhead_ribozyme from 1 species
AUCCAGCUGAUGAGUCCAAAAUAGGACGAAACAUGCAUCAAACUAGAU